GAACGAAAGUUAAGACAUAUUGGUUUCGGCCCAAUUAUAGAGAAUAAAUUCUCUUCGUUCU
rnacentral:tRNA from 1 species